rnacentral:rRNA from 1 species
CGUAGGGGGCAAGCGUUGUCCGGAUUUAUUGGGCGUAAAGAGCGUGUAGGCGGCUUGGUAGGUCCGCUGUGAAAACUCGAGGCUCAACCUCGAGAUGCCGGCGGAAACCACUUGGCUAGAGUCCGGAAGAGGAGAGUGGAAUUCCCGGUGUAGCGGUGAAAUGCGCAGAUAUCGGGGAGAACACCUAUGGCGAAGGCAGCUCUCUGGGACGGUACUGACGCUGAGACGCGAAAGCGUGGGGAGCGAACAGGAUUAGAUACCCUGGUAGUCCACGCCGUAAACGAUGGGUGCUAGGUGUGGGCGGUGUCGACUCCGUCCGUGCCGAAGCUAACGCAUUAAGCACCCCGCCUGGGGAGUACGGCCGCAAGGCUA